AAGUGCUCAGAGGGUAGGUGAUUAUUAAGGGGAAUCCCUGAAUAUAUUCUCCAGCAAAGAAGGCAGGGCUGCUGGGGCUGCUCAAGAAGAGAGCCAGCAGCCUCCUACAGCACCACUACAGGCACUGAGAGGACAUAACAUCAGAGAGCAGCUCCUCUGCCCUCCAAAACAACAACUUUCCUACCAUCUUGGAGAAUUCCAGUAGAAUUCUUCAUGCUAGAUAACUGUUCUGACUGAUGACUCGUUUAAGUGCGUGAAUGGGAUCCAAGACUCAUACAAAGGGAUUAUUUCCACUAACUUUGUUGGGCUUUGUAUUACGACCCAUAUGAAGUGGCAAACUGAAACAGAGAAAAGAAUUAGUGGACUGCACGUCCAUCAGCUAUUAAGUCUUGAUCCUAUUCCAUUGAUAUUGAUUUCAAUGGGAGGAUCAAGCUCUUAGAACUUAACUGUGUAACCACUUGGGAGUAGGCCUACAUUCUAAUUUCCACAUAAUUGAAUUAAUUGAUAAUUAAUUGAAUAGUUAUCAAAACAUUAAGUAGAGCCUCGCUAAUCUGCACUUCAUUAAUCAAUGCACAUUAAAAAAAUAUUAGCAAUGUCCCCAUAAAUCUCAGCAAAGAUGUAAUAAUGUGUAUACUACUGUGUUUUAAUGUCUUCCAGAUCAUGGGGUGGGCAUCUAUUGAGACUUUUGUGAAUUGAAAAUAAACAAGAUAAUAAAAUCAUAGGAGAACACUGUAAUGAGGUCUCCUGUUAGUAAAACUUUCAUUUUGUAAUUCAAAAUAUACUAAUGUAUUUACUAGUACAUUUGUAUAAAUGUAUUGAUAUUUCAUAAAUUACAAUCACUGAAAUUAAUAAAUGACAUUCUUUUCCUUA